GGAGCGCGGAGCCGCGGGCAGGCCGGGCCGCACCGGAGCCCUGCGUCCGCCGGCGCCCCGCCCGAGCCCUGCGCCCGCGCCCUGCGCUCCGCGAUGCGCGCCAACUUGCGGGCCGGGGACCCAGGGCCGGCGCCCUAGGAGGCGGCGGCGGGAGGAUAGCGUCCCGACCCGAGGCCGGGCCUGCUGCGCGCCCCCAGCCCGAUCGGCACCGCCACUUGCCUGAGCGCCCCGGCGGCCCGAGCGCGCCCCAAGCCCGGGCGCCACCGCUGCCACCUCCGCGAGGUCUUCCUGAGUCUUUGAGGACACAGCCUCGCUGGAGGCAGUUUCUGUUGCCAGUGACGGGUGGCCCGUGAGCUGAUGACGAGGACUGGCUUUUAAUCGUUGGUGGUGAUUAAGAGAAAGCUUAUUGGGGCCUGGGAGCCCCCCCACCGACCCCCGCCACCAUGUCGGGAUCCACACAGCCUGUGGCACAGACGUGGAGGGCCACUGAGCCCCGCUACCCGCCCCACAGCCUUUCCUAUCCAGUGCAGAUUGCCCGGACGCACACGGACGUCGGGCUCCUGGAGUACCAGCACCACUCCCGCGACUAUGCCUCCCACCUGUCGCCCGGCUCCAUCAUCCAGCCCCAGCGGCGGAGGCCCUCCCUGCUGUCCGAGUUCCAGCCCGGGAAUGAACGGUGAGAAGAGAGUUGCUGCCUCCCUGUCCAGGGCGUGAGAGCUCCUUCUCAGAUGGAGAAGCAGAGG
rnacentral:sRNA from 1 species